GAUGAACGCUGGCGGCGUGCCUAAUACAUGCAAGUCGAGCGAACGGACGAGAAGCUUGCUUCUCUGAUGUUAGCGGCGGACGGGUGAGUAACACGUGGAUAACCUACCUAUAAGACUGGGAUAACUUCGGGAAACCGGAGCUAAUACUGGAUAAUAUUUUGAACCGCAUGGUUCAAAAGUGAAAGACGGUCUUGCUGUCACUUAUAGAUGGAUCCGCGCUGCAUUAGCUAGUUGGUAAGGUAACGGCUUACCAAGGCAACGAUGCAUAGCCGACCUGAGAGGGUGAUCCGCCCAACUGGAACUGGGACACGGUCCAGACUCCUACGGGAGGCCGCAGUAGGGAAUCUUCCGCCAUGGGCGAAAGCCUGACGGAGCAACGCCGCGUGAGUGAUGAAGGUCUUCGGAUCCUAAAACUCUGUUAUUAGGGAAGAAAAUAUUUGUAAGUAACUGUGCCCAUCUUGACGGUACCUUAUCAGAAAGCCACGGCUAACUACGUG
rnacentral:rRNA from 1 species